rnacentral:ncRNA from 1 species
CAAUAAACGAUGAAGGGAAUUAGUAACGGUCGAAAGGACUUGUGCAGAGAGCAGGCGGUUGGUGCAAGCCUAGCAGUCCCCGGCGGUGAAUUACCUCCCAGAGUUUCUUCUGCGAACGAUACGAUCGAGUAGUGGGAGACGGCCGCAACCGUUAUGCGACAAUUAAGUGAUUGUUUGAUGUAUGAGCAGUCAACGAGGAUGGUACCGUGCGAUCAGCACUCCUUAU